CUCGAAGACUUGACGGAUACUAAUGUCUCGUGUGAAACAAAACUGGAUCUAUUCUCGAUUCAACCCCUUGUUUGGUUUGUUCCCUUCUACCAUAAAGUUAUUUAAUUUCGAAAGCUUCUAAAUGCACAGCAGUGAACGAGUAAAAUUCGGAAUAAAGCCGAACACUUUGGGAGUGGCCAUGGUUAGACAAAAUGUAUUGUCUGAAUGUACGUGCGUUUCUUUUAAGAAAAUGGAAAAGAAAGAAAAUAAAAAGAGCCUUCGUCAGCUUAAUGACGCCACGCGUUCAGCCCAAGGCAGGCCAAUUCGGCUAGAGAUUUCAAAAGCCCGUCUUCAAUGUUUGCAGCCGUAAUAACUAAACGAAUAUACACACAGCGAAAACUGGAAUAACCGGAAGAAUGGACAAUCAAAUCGAGAAGGAAGACUCGAGGGCUGGUUGCCAAGUCGGACACGUACGCAGAGUCCAGUCCCAUGCUUAGCCACUAACCGGUUUGAACUCGAACAAAUAAAGGUUUCUCGCAUUUCCCGACGGCGAAAAAAAAAAACGACACUAGAGAGAAGAAGGAAAAGUCUAUUUAACAAAGAGACUAGGAAACCUGCUGACCAGAGGAGCAGACGAGCAAAAUGGACGGCACCCUAAAGUGUCUGUUGUUGAUCAAUGGCAAUGGGUGCAGACGACGAAAACCUUUUUCUUUAAUGGGAUCAAAUUCCGUCAGAUCUCUUGUCGUUCUUAUUUUGCACCACGACGUCCAUUUUUCUUUUCGUUUGAAAGAAAUGUCGCGGGAUGAAAAGAAAAAUGUAUGUUUAUUGUUUUGUUUCGAGUCUUUCUGUGAUGUGGUUGUGAAUCGAUUUGGUGUUCAGCCGUAGGGCAUUCUUCAUAGCAAAGGGCGGGUUGAUUCGGGAUGCACGAAAGGUAGCACGAAAGAACGCGAGUGGAAAAAAGAAACAUUUUCUUUUUCAGCACGAUUGCACCAUCGAAAUUCGUACCCAAUCACACACAGACAUACAGAGCCAACUAUUUCCUUCUGGAAGAAGCCAGGCCAUUUUUAUUUAAUUAAUUCACCCGUCAGCGUGAGAAACUAAAUGAAAUGAGUGCUCUAAUCUAAACGCUCAUCACACAUUUCAUGAGGUGUAACACAAACGUGUCAAUUGAACGAGAUUAUGAAACGUUGGAGUGUAGACUAUUGAGAGAAACCUCGAGGUGUGUGUGUGUUUUUCAUUUCAGUGCUGUUACACACACUACAUGGCAGAACACGAGAGAGACUUUGGCACUUGGUUGCACCAUCACGUCUCCCCAUAUUUGAACGAUAGUGAGACAAAAUUCAUAGCGGGAAAAACCUGUAGGCACUCGAGAUUAUUAGAGAGCUUUGCAAUGUGUAGUCGAGACCUUUUCCAAUAUUUUUCAAACGACCGUUUUGGUGCUGGUACAAACAGGUACGCGAUUCACAGCCGGUUUUCCCAUCAUUGUGUACUGAAACAAGCAAGCAAAUCGCCGACUGUCCUUAAACCACAUGGGGAGUUCCUUGGACUUUCGGUACGGCAUGCGUAGAUCGUUUUAGUACUACGAUCAGUGGUGUAAUAUGAUGCUGAUCGUCUUCGUAAGGGAAGAGAGACGUCACGAAAUUGAUAAGGAAGAGAUAGGCCUCUGGUGGCCAGUAGCAGCAGUUAGAGAGCGCCAUUAUCACGUACACGCAAGUUUGGCCGUCUCCGAUGACAGUUGUAGAGGACACACACGUACGCACUGCUUUUUUUUUGGAGAAAUUAAGCCUAGCAAAAUGAGCAUCUUUUAAGGCAAAUGUACAUGCAACAUUUAAUAUAAUGUC